AGCGAACGCUGGCGGCAGGCUUAACACAUGCAAGUCGAGCGGGCGUAGCAAUACGUCAGCGGCAGACGGGUGAGUAACGCGUGGGAACGUACCUUUUGGUUCGGAACAACACAGGGAAACUUGUGCUAAUACCGGAUAAGCCCUUACGGGGAAAGAUUUAUCGCCGAAAGAUCGGCCCGCGUCUGAUUAGCUAGUUGGUGAGGUAAUGGCUCACCAAGGCGACGAUCAGUAGCGGUCUGAGAGGAUGAUCAGCCACAUUGGGACUGAGACACGGCCCAAAACUCCUACGGGAGGCAGCAGUGGGGAAUAUUGGACAAUGGGCGCAAGCCUGAUCCAGCCAUGCCGCGUGAGUGAUGAAGGCCCUAGGGUGUAAAGCUCUUUUGUGCGGGAAGAUAAUGACGGUACCGCAAGAAUAAGCCCCGGCUAACUUCGUGCCAGCCGCCGCCGU
rnacentral:rRNA from 1 species